rnacentral:rRNA from 1 species
AUACGGAGGGGGCUAGCGUUGUUCGGAAUUACUGGGCGUAAAGCGUACGCAGGCGGAUUGUUAAGUUAGGUGUGAAAUCCCAGGGCUCAACCCUGGAACUGCACUUAAAACUGGCAAUCUAGAGUUAUGGAGAGGUAAGUGGAAUUCCUAGUGUAGAGGUGAAAUUCGUAGAUAUUAGGAGGAACACCAGAGGCGAAGGCGGCUUACUGGACAUAUACUGACGCUGAGGUACGAAAGUGUGGGGAGCAAACGGGAUUAGAAACCCUAGUAGUCC